rnacentral:rRNA from 1 species
GACGGAGGGUGCUAGCGUUGUUCGGAAUCACUGGGCGUAAAGGGCGCGUAGGCGGCCUUGCAAGUCGGUUGGUGAAAGCCCGGGGCUCAACCCCGGAGGUGCGGCCGAGACUGCAGGGCUGGAGGCCGGAAGAGGAGGGUGGAAUACCCAGUGUAGAGGUGAAAUUCGUAGAUAUCGGGAGGAACACCGGUGGCGAAGGCGGCGAUCUGGGUAGAUACUGACGCUGAGGUGCGAAAGCGUGGGGAGCAAACAGG